UCUCUCUCUCUCUCUCUCUCUCUCUCUCUGUAUUUCGAGGUUGUCGUUCAGCCCUGACCUCACUCACCUUUCAAAUAAAGAGUCAGAGAAUCAAUCUACAGUCUGUUUCUUCUGCACUAGAUUAUUUGGGAGAUUGAGUUUUUGUAGCGUUAUGAUUAUGGAUUGAUGAUGUUACAGCUCGGCCUCUCUGUUGCUUUGUUCCAAGCCCUACAUAGAGAGCACGCUUCUAAGGGAACGUCCUGAAUGAAGUGAAAAUUAACUUCCUAAGUGGAUGAUUUGGACCUAGCACACAAAUAAUGGCUCCUGGAUCUGAAGCGCCUCCCGAAGCAGACAGACGGAUGAAAGUGAGUUCAAAAUCAGCUCAAAACCCGCCGCUCGUCUCUCUCUCACCUGUGGCCCACCAGACGUGUGAGCGAGUGUGAGCACAGGUUGAGGCCAGACAGCACCAGGUACCGUGUGUGUGUGUGUGUGUGUGUGUGUGUGUGUGUGCAGACGGGUCCCACAGGGCGAGGCUCUACAGCUGUAGACAGACACUGAAUUCGCUGCAUCUGCUGUCCUGACAUCUGCAGACGGGGCCGAAGACACAUGCCUCUGUGUGUAUCUGUCAGUGUGUGAAUGAACAGUCAUCAGAGGCCUGACUGUAGUUUAUAAAGAACAGCAACGCAAAGGAAUGUUAAUUAAUGGUGUUAUGGUAUGAUGUAAACAAUAUAUUGUUAAUAUUAUUAUAUAUUAUGUAUUAUUAUAUAUAUAAUGCAUAUAGUAUGUGUGAGUGAGAGAGAGUGAGUGUAUGUUAGUGUGUGUGUGUGUGAGAGAGAGAGAGAGAGAGAGAGAGAGAGAGUGAGUGUGUGUGUGUGUGUGUGUGUGUGUGUGUUUGUGGUUGGAGUUCUGAUAAUUAGGAUCCAUCUGAUAAAGCUCUCAAUCGUCUCUUAAAAGCGUCUGUAUCUGAGCAGAAAAGAAGAGCUCAACUGGUUUCAUUACAAGACACACAAUACACUAAUAACAGUUACAAGAAACCAAAUCCAGCCGCUAAUUAGAGCGAGAUGAUUGAUACAUGAGGACAAGGUUGUUUUUUGAUCCUCUGGCAAACAUGAGUCUGUAAUUGUCGGAGGAGGAGUCUGCGAUGACGUCGACUGUAAUUACUCCCAAA
ensembl:lncRNA